GAUGAACGCUGGCGGCGUGCCUAAUACAUGCAAGUCGAGCGAACAGACGAGGAGCUUGCUCCUCUGACGUUAGCGGCGGACGGGUGAGUAACACGUGGAUAACCUACCUAUAAGACUGGGAUAACUUCGGGAAACCGGAGCUAAUACCGGAUAAUAUAUUGAACCGCAUGGUUCAAUAGUGAAAGACGGUUUUGCUGUCACUUAUAGAUGGAUCCGCGCCGCAUUAGCUAGUUGGUAAGGUAACGGCUUACCAAGGCAACGAUGCGUAGCCGAUCUGAGAGGGUGAUCGGCCACACUGGAACUGAGACACGGUCCAGACUCCUACGGGAGGCAGCAGUAGGGAAUCUUCCGCAAUGGGCGAAAGCCUGACGGAGCAACGCCGCGUGAGUGAUGAAGGUCUUCGGAUCGUAAAUCUCUGUUAUUAGGGAAGAACAAAUGUGUAAGUAACUAUGCACGUCUUGACAGUACCUAAUCAGAAAGCCACGGCUAACUACGUG
rnacentral:rRNA from 1 species